UGAGGAAUAUUGGUCAAUGGACGCAAGUCUGAACCAGCCACGUCGCGUGAAGGAAGACGGCCCUACGGGUUGUAAACUUCUUUUGUAAGGGAAUAAAGUGAGCCACGUGUGGCUUUUUGCAUGUACCUUACGAAUAAGGAUCGGCUAACUCCGUGCCAGCAGCCGCGGUAAUACGGAGGAUCCGAGCGUUAUCCGGAUUUAUUGGGUUUAAAGGGUGCGCAGGCGGGGGAUUAGGUCGGCGGUGAAAUAUCAGGGCUCAACCUUGAGAGUGCCGUCGAAACCGGUUUUCUUGAGUGCGGAUGAAGUAGGCGGAAUUUGUGGUGUAGCGGUGAAAUGCAUAGAUAUCACGAGGAACUCCGAUUGCGAAGGCAGCUUACUAAGCUACUACUGACGCUCAGGCACGAAGGCGUGGGGAUCAAACAGG
rnacentral:rRNA from 2 species